CAAAAUGCAUGGCCCUUGCUUAAUUAAUACUUGAAUCCUUAGAAAUCGAGACGCACCAUUUAGUUGAGUUUUCCAUGGCUCUCGCAAAGUUGAAAGUGCGUAGUUGCUUUAGGCGCGCUAUUUAAAAAUUACCUUCCUAAACUCGGGUGUGCAUUUAUGUGACCCAAAUCCAAAUCUUAACAACGUUAAAUAAAAUGUGUCUCGGACUGCGGGUGCAUUUCAUGUGGCGUGGUCCAAAGACGUGUUUUAGAUGACGUUGAAAUCUUCCUUAAAAUAAUUAAAAAGCGGUUUAAAGUUAAAAUUGAACCAUAGGUUAAAACAUGUAUUAAAAUCAGAUAAUAGUCCAAUUAUAACAGUUGAGCGACCGUGCUAAAACCACGGAAUCCGGAAAUGCCUAAUACCUUCUCUGGGGUUAACAAAAUUCCUUACCCGAAUUUCUGCGUUCGCGGACUGUAAUACAAAGUCAAUCUUUUCCUCGAUUCGGGAUCUGAACCGGUGACUUUGGACACCAUAAUUAUCCCAAGUGGUGACUCUGAUUGUUUUUUAAUAAAAUGAUCCCGUUUCGAUUUUGUCACUUUAAAUUGAAAAAAAACUCCCUUAUAUACUCCCUUUCGGGGGUGUAGGUAAAAUGGAGGUGUGACACGGACUCGUGAGAUGAUGAAGAAUAUUUUGGUAUAAAGUUUGUCCAGUUCCGGAAUGCAGGUCCGGGAGUCGGGUUUUGACUGAUUUCGGAUUUUGUUUUUAAAAGUCGAUAUUUUUCAAUUGGAAUUCAUUCAUUUAGCAUAAUUUGAUGAUAAAAAUCUGAACUUGGUAGAUUUGGAGCACUCAGAAGUUGGGUCGAGAGGCAAGCGUGUUGCAGAGUAGCUUUUCGGGCUAGUCCGAGGUAAGUAAUGAUUGUAAAUGUUGUCCUGAGGGUAUGAAACCCCGGAUUUCACAUCGUUGUGCUACUUUGAGGUGACACACACACUAGAUGACGAGCGUGGGGUCAUGCACCGUUGGGGAUUGUGACUUAGUCUGUCCCGCAUGACUGUUAAACCACGUAUUUGAUUGAAAAUUGUUUGAUAUCAUUGUGUUUUGGAAAGUAUUAUCAUGUUUUUUUUGGCUGAAUGCCAUAUUUGGGCCUCGUGCCAACUAUUUUGGACUCUUAGGGGAUUUUUACUACUAUUCCUCAUUGUUUGGCUUCAUAUUUGUACCAGCCAUGUUGUAUUCUACUAUUUUCAUAACUCAGCCAUAUUUACUCUGUUUUGAUAUUUUAAAUAAUAUUUUGGGCUGAGCAUCAUGUUUUACUGUUGCCCGAGUGGCAUGAGAGAUUUCUGACUCAGUGAGGCCGAGGGCCUGUGUUGUGAGGAUACUAUGGGAUCGGGCUGCGCGCCGCAAUAGUGUUAUACUGAUUCAUGAUUUUGAGGCCGAGGGCCUAAUUUGUUACACCACGAGGUGGCUUGUUGAUAUGAUGCCGAGAGCCUAUUUGAUUAUGCCACGAGAUGGCUUGUUAUUGCGCUUGGGACGUAAGGGGGCCCUCCAGGAGUCUGUACACCCCCAGUGAGCGCGGGUGCCCAGUGUGAGUGAUAUGAUGUAGCCCAAGGGGCUGUUGUUGUUUCAUAUUGUUGUCUGAGGGGCUGUUCUUGAUACAUGUUUUGCCUGAGGGGCAGUUCUUUAUUCAUGUUAUGCCCGAGGGGCUGAUUACGAGUGAUUGUGAGGUAGCCCGAAGGGCUGGUUCUGUUGAUAUUAUGCCCGAGGGGCAGUUUAUGGUACAUGUUUUGCCUGAGAGGCCGUUUAUAUUUCUAUCAUUUUUACUUACUGUUUUAUCACUCCUUUGAAACUAUUGAAAGUUGUUUUAAAAGGUUUUACUGAAACUGAGCUUGAUUUACGAAGUUUUGGUUUCUGUACUAUUUUUUGAGAAAUAUACGGUAUUUGUUGUAGUGCUAUGACGUGAAAUUAUGUGUUUUCUUACUGCUCAGCUUUUAUUUAUUUUUAUUACUUACUGAGUUGGCGUACUCACAUUACUCCCUGCACCUUAUGUGCAGAUUCAGGUAUUUCUGAACCCGGUAGUGGGUGUUGAUUGCUCAGUGGCAGAGUCAUCGGAGUUAGCAAGGUAGCUGCCCGACGUUCGCAGCCCUGCUCUUCUCCUUCUUGUCUUCCUUAGACUGUUUUUAGUUAAUUUCAGACUCUUCAUUGUAUUCAGACCUUAGUAGAUGCUCGUGACUUGUGACACCCCGAUGUCGGGCUGUAUCUAUUUCCGCAUUUGUUCUAUUUUGCUAAAUUUAUACUUGUUGGGGAUUUAUUCUUAUAAAUGACUUAAUUGACUUAUUAAAUUGUUAAAAAUGAAUUUGUGAAUUGUGUCGGCUGGCCUUGUCUUCACGAAAGGCGCCAUCACGACCGGGUCCGGUUUGGGGUCGUGACAAUUUUAUAAGAGAUUUUUACAUUUCUAUACA
rnacentral:lncRNA from 1 species